rnacentral:rRNA from 1 species
GAUGAACGCUGGCUACAGGCUUAACACAUGCAAGUCGAGGGGAAACGGCAUUGAGUGCUUGCACUGAAUGGACGUCGACCGGCGCACGGGUGAGUAACGCGUAUCCAACCUUCCCGUUACUGCGGGAUAACCUGCCGAAAGGCAGACUAAUACCGCAUGUUCUUCGAUGACGGCAUCAGAUUCGAAGCAAAGAUCCGUCGGUAACGGAGGGGGAUGCGUCUGAUUAGCUAGUUGGCGGGGCGACGGCCCACCAAGGCGACGAUCAGUAGGGGUUCUGAGAGGAAGGUCCCCCACAUUGGAACUGAGAAACGGUCCAAACUCCUACGGGAGGCAGCAGUGAGGAAUAUUGGUCAAUGGGCGGAAGCCUGAACCAGCCAAGUAGCGUGCAGGAUGACGGCCCUACGGGUUGUAAACUGCUUUUAUGCGGGGAUAAAGUGAGGGACGCGUCCCUUUUUGCAGGUACCGCAUGAAUAAGGACCGGCUAAUUCCGUG